CUCACCAUCCAGGGUUUGCUAUGUAUCUUGUGAAUGUUUUCCAGCAACAAGGCAAAGCGUCAUGAAAAGGCUAGUGGACACUGUACUGGGGCUUUUGUUUGCCCAGGUUUGCUGUGUGAGAGGGAUGGAUGUGGUGCAGAGUCCCCCAGCCCUGAGUCUCCAGGAGGGAGCCAGCUCUACUCUGCAGUGGACAAAGCGAGAUGGAAGAUUAAAUGCCACGACAGUCCCUAGAGAACGCCGAAGCUCACUGCACAUUUCCUCUUCGCGGACCACAGACUCGGGCACUUACUUCUGUGCUGCGCAGCACGGUGCUCCCCAGGCACCUGCGGCCUCUACAGGAACCCUCCCGGGGCUCAGCCCCUCCUCCAGCCUCAGUCACACCGUGAGGCCCCCACAGGGCAUUUGCAGUGCUUCAUGUUACUCACCUGCAUCAGAACAGCUUUAA